rnacentral:rRNA from 1 species
CGAAAGCGUGGGGAGCAAACAGGAUUAGAUACCCUGGUAGUCCACGCCGUAAACUAUGGAUGCUAGCCGUUGGUGGGUUUACCCUUCAGUGGCGCAGCUAACGCAUUAAGCAUCCCGCCUGGGGAGUACGGUCGCAAGAUUAAAACUCAAAGGAAUUGACGGGGGCCCGCACAAGCGGUGGAGCAUGUGGUUCAAUUCGAAGCAACGCGCAGAACCUUACCAGCCUUUGACAUGUCCCGUAUGGGUACCAGAGAUGGAACUCUUCAGUUCGGCUGGCGGGAACACAGGUGCUGCAUGGCUGUCGUCAGCUCGUGUCGUGGGAUGUUGGGUUAAGUCCCGCAACGAGCGCAACCCUCGCCCUUAGUUGCCAUCAUUCAGUUGGGCACUCUAAGGGGACUGCCGGUGAUAAGCCGCGAGGGAGGUGGGGAUGACGUCAAGUCCUCAUGGCCCUUACAGGCUGGGCUACACACGUGCUACAAUGGCGGUGACAGUGGGACGCAAUGGAGCAAUCCUGCGCAAAUCUCAAAAAGCCGUCUCAGUUCGGAUUGUGCUCUGCAACUCGAGCACAUGAAGUUGGAAUCGCUAGUAAUCGCAGAUCAGCACGCUGCGGUGAAUACGUUCCCGGGCCUUGUACACACCGCCCGUCACACCAUGGGAGUUGGCUUUACCUGAAGACGGUGCGCUAACCGCAAGGAGGCAGCCGGCCACGGUAGGGUCAGCGACUGGGGUGAAGUCGUAACAAGGUAGCCGUA